UUUUUUAAUUGAAAACUUGUAUGAAUGGUUGAAUGAAAUAUAUGCUGUUUCAUAAAAAUUUAAUUAAAAUUUUAUUUUUUAGUUAAAAAGCUAAAAUAAUCUUAUAAGACGAGAAGACCCUAUAAAGUUUUAUAAAUUGAUUUUAAUAAUUUAUAUAAUUGUUUUAAAAUUUUUUUGAUUGAUUUAUUUUAUUGGGGUGAUAAUAAAAUUUAAAAAACUUUUAUUUUUUAAAACAUAAAUUAAUGAAUUGAUGAUCCAUUAUUAAUGAUUAAAAAUUUAAAUUACUUUAGGGAUAACAGCGUAAUUUUUUUUUUAAGUUCAAAUUUAUAAAAAAGUUUGC
rnacentral:rRNA from 1 species